GACGAACGCUGGCGGCGUGCUUAACACAUGCAAGUCGAGCGGUAAGGCCCUUCGGGGUACACGAGCGGCGAACGGGUGAGUAACACGUGAGUAAUCUGCCCAUCACUUCGGGAUAACUCCGGGAAACCGGUGCUAAUACCGAAUAUGACCACUUCAGGCAUCUGAUGGUGGUGGAAAGUUCCGGCGGGGAUGGAUGAGCUCGCGGCCUAUCAGCUUGUUGGCGUGGUAGUGGCCUACCAAGGCUUCGACGGGUAGCCGGCCUGAGAGGGUGACCGGCCACCCGGGGACUGCGACACGGCCCAGACGCCUACGGGAGGCAGCAGUGGAGAGUUUUGGACAAUGGGCGAAAGCCUGAUCCAGAGACGCCGCGUGAGGAAUGACGGCCUUCGGGUUGUAAACCUCUGUCAGCAGGGACGAAGCGCAAGUGACGGUACCUGCAGAAGAAGCACCGGCCAACUACGUG
rnacentral:rRNA from 1 species